rnacentral:rRNA from 1 species
GACGAACGCUGGCGGCGUGCCUAACACAUGCAAGUCGAGCGGAGUCAGUAAGAGGAAGUUUUCGGAUGGAAUCUUAUUGAUUUAGCGGCGGACGGGUGAGUAACGCGUGAGCGACCAACCUUGCACAGGGGGAUAACGGACCGAAAGGUUCACUAAUACCGCAUGAGACCACGGUGUUGCAUGACACAGAGGUCAAAGGAGCAAUCCGGUGCAAGACGGGCUCGCGUCCGAUUAGGUAGUUGGAGGGGUAACGGCCCACCAAGCCUAUGAUCGGUAGCCGACCUGAGAGGGUGAUCGGCCACAUUGGAACUGAGAUACGGUCCAAACUCCUACGGGAGGCAGCAGUGGGGAAUAUUGGGCAAUGGGGGAAACCCUGACCCAGCAACGCCGCGUGAAGGAAGAAGGUUUUCGGAUUGUAAACUUCUGUCCUUGGUGAAGAGAAGAAGACGGUAGCCAAGGAGGAAGCCCCGGCUAACUACGUGCCAGCAGCCGCGGUAAGAGUAGUACA